rnacentral:rRNA from 1 species
UACGGGGGGGGCAAGCGUUGUUCGGAAUUACUGGGCGUAAGGGGCGCGUAGGCGGCCUGGCAAGUGGAUGGUGAAAUCCCUCGGCUUAACCGAGGAACUGCCAUCCAGACUGCUUGGCUUGAGACCGGGAGAGGUGAGUGGAAUUCCCAGUGUAGCGGUGAAAUGCGUAGAUAUUGGGAGGAACACCAGUGGCGAAGGCGGCUCACUGGACCGGUACUGACGCUGAGGAGCGAAAGCGUGGGGAGCGAACAGG